CUUUCCGCUACCGAAGGUGCUUGCCGGAGCUCUAAAAGCUCGGAAGAACGACAUUCCUGUGAAGACUUUGUUGACGAUAUGCAAGGGACGUGAAGGUACGGAGUUAUCGGAUGGAGAUGUGUUGCUUUUUCCUUAAAUGAUUAGGUACAGGAGUGCAGGAGACAAUGACGGGUUCACACGUAUUUGUAUGUUCACAUAGUAGUCGAGAUAAAAGGUGUGGAUUUUGUGGGCCAAUUCUAAUAAAAAAGUUCAAAGAGGAGGCUGAAUUGAGGGGAUUGGAUAACGUGUCUGUGACUGAUAGGGAACUUGAUAAAUUAUAGCGUUCAAGAUAAAAAAAAAAUUGUGGUCAUUGGUACGGUUAUGUUACCCCGAGUGAUGUGCCUGAAUUACUUGAUAAUCACAUUGUAAAGGGUGAAAUCAUUGAUAGGAUUUGGAGGGGCCAAAUGGGAGUUCCUGUGGUCAAGAAAGCUGAAAAGCAAUUGAACAGUCCCAAACGGAAAUGACGUAAAAGUCUCUGAAGCGGGCCACCACGCAAGCAGCACCAUAGAAGAGAGAGAGAGAGAGAGA